CGCUCGGUGGCUUAAGUGGUUAGAGCGUCCGCAUCGGAUGCCGUAGGUUGAAGGUUCGAACCCCAGCUGAGUCA